GAUGAACGCUGGCGGCGUGCCUAAUACAUGCAAGUCGAGCGAACAGACGAGGAGCUUGCUCCUCUGACGUUAGCGGCGGACGGGUGAGUAACACGUGGAUAACCUACCUAUAAGACUGGGAUAACUUCGGGAAACCGGAGCUAAUACCGGAUAAUAUAUUGAACCGCAUGGUUCAAUAGUGAAAGACGGUUUUGCUGUCACUUAUAGAUGUAUCCGCGCCGCAUUAGCUAGUUGGUAAGGUAACGGCUUACCAAGGCAACGAUGCGUAGCCGACCUGAGAGGGUGAUCGGCCACACUGGAACUGAGACACGGUCCAGACUCCUACGGGGGGCAGCAGUAGGGAAUCUUCCGCAAUGGGCGAAAGCCUGACGGAGCAACGCCGCGUGAGUGAUGAAGGUCUUCGGAUCGUAAAACUCUGUUAUUAGGGAAGAACAAAUGUGUAAGUAACUAUGCACGUCUUGACGGUACCUAAUCAGAAAGCCACGGCUAACUACGUG
rnacentral:rRNA from 1 species